ensembl:lncRNA
AUGGGUGCACAAUUGCUGAUGCUGUGAGAAGUGCUUGGCAGCAACUGGGUCAGGAUAAAGAGCAAGCAGUGUUAGUACUGCCUACUGUGGGGCAAGGAGGAGGAACUUGGCAGAACCCCAGGACCUGGCAGCACACUCCUGGCAGUUCAGGACCCACUACUUGCACCAAGGGUGCGCCAUUCUCCAAAUCACUGCUGCUCACAACACUCCUAAAGGUAAACUUGACUUGUGUUACUGUGUCCAUCGUUUGGGUACCCUGGAGGAAUCACUCCAGCUCUGUUCAACACCUGCGGCUGCAUAUGGACUUCUAAUUAGAAGACGAGGCCUGACUGCCUGUCAGCGCUGCCCACUCCAUCCGAAGCAGACACAGGCCUUCAUUGGGCACACAGCAGGAGGGAGGUGGAGAAUUCGGGGAGUGAGGGAGCUAAGACAGGAACUCUGACAGGUGUUAACAUGGGAAGGAGAAACCAGAAGGAACACCAGUGGCCCCAGGAUAAUUUCUGUUUCAGGGCAGGGGCUAGAAGGUCCUCAAUGACGUCAAGAGAGCUUCUAUUGGCAUCAAGUAUUUGUCAUCUCGUUUUGCGUCUCCUACACAUGUCCA